GGACAAUUGAAUCUACCAAGCUGGAUGUCAAAUGUUUCUCCAAGGUUGUUCAGCAAUAGAUCAAACACAAUUGGCUGGUCUAGAGUUCCAGGGGCCAAGUUUGAUGUUCUAGCUGCAGAGAAGGCAACUCUCAUCUGCUGCGGGAGGGGGUAGACGUGCACUGGUAGUAUAGUGGCAGCUUGGCUUGUCACUGGCAUAUCAACAGGUGUGAUGCUGCGAGAAUCUCCCUGCCCAGAAUCUCCGCUGUUAAAGGUUUCAUUGUCUCGUUCUGGGCUGCUCACCUGAGAAGAAUCACUCCACCCUGCUCUUGAAUUUGCU
rnacentral:lncRNA from 1 species